GACAGAGGGUGCAAACGUUGUUCGGAAUUACUGGGCGUAAAGCGCGUGUAGGCGGCUUAGCAAGUCGGAUGUGAAAGCCCUGGGCUUAACCCAGGAAGUGCACUCGAAACUGCUGAGCUUGAGUUCUGGAGAGGAAGGCGGAAUUCUCGGUGUAGAGGUGAAAUUCGUAGAUAUUGGGAAGAACACCGGUGGCGAAGGCGGCUCUCUGGACCGAGACUGACGCUGAGGCGCGAAAGCGUGGGGAGCAAACAGG
rnacentral:rRNA from 1 species